rnacentral:tRNA from 1 species
GGGCGGUUAGCUCAGUCAGGCAGAGCAUCGGACUUUUAAUCCGGUGGCCCGGGGUUCGAAUCCCCGACCGCCCA